rnacentral:misc_RNA from 1 species
AAUCCGCGCUCACAUCCUCUCUUGCCACGCACACACACACACACGCCACUGCUGCAUCUCUCUCGCGCCUACGCCUCUGCAGAGAUCAACACACUACCAACGGCACUGCUUCGCACGCAGCAAUGUCGAAUGAGGAAGUCUUUCGUAUCAGCAACGUCAGCGGCUAUUCGGUAGAGAUGCCGCUGGCCACGGCGAAGGAGCUGCUGGGCAUGCUGAACAUGGACCAGGUAUUCCGAGCGGCGCGGGCUGGCACUGACGACACGGACGAGUCGGACGUGGACGACGGCGACACGGAGCCGGUGAAGGCGGAGGGCACGGAUUACAGCAAGGAGGUGCUGGACGUGGUGCGCGCGUACGCGUUGCUCCCGCCUGACGAGCGCACCAGCAGCAUCCCUCGCCCCCUCACGCAGGACCUGCGGAGCGUGGUGUACGCGGGCGAGAUGGAGCUGGUUGAGAAGGCGGAGAGGGAGGACUACCUCGUCGAUCUUCUCAACUGCGCGUUGUUCCUGCGUUUCUCGCAACUGUCCGCGCUGUGCGCCGCCUACAUGGCGGUCCGCAUUGACGAGAUCGCGAAGGCGGCGCCGGACAUUAUGGAGGGCGCCGAGCGCAUCCGGAAAUUCCUGCAUAUGCAGAACGAGUGGACCGAAGAGGAGAUGGGUCACCUGCGGCGUGAGAUGGAGUACGCUAAAUCGGUGGACCCGAAUGUGUAUUGAAAGCACGCGCCCGUGCCUGCGCGCCUGUGUGCACGUCUGAGUGAGGGUGCCUCGUGGGUGUCUCCCUCCCUUCCUUUCUGUCCUUAUCUUCGCUGGAGGCUACCCCUCCUCACCUUCACGCGUCUCUCUCUCAUCCCGACCCUCACUGCAACCCAUUGCUGACAUUGCCCGAAUCAGCCUCUCUGCGCUGAGGAGGACGAGGAGGCGUAUGGCACGUAAUUCCCGUUGUUUUCGUUCAUCGCCUGUAGUGCUUGACUUCUUGUUUCUUUCCAGUUCACCGUGCGACGAAACCCCGCCGCCAACACUCGCGUCCCUCCCCCACUCACCGACGUCCGUGUCACUGUCAGGCGCCCCUCUCAGACGUCUCUGCCCCCCCCCUUCCUCCUCCUCAGCCCCCGGCCAGCGUCUUCGCUGUCAUUGCAGCAGUGCCUGGAGGAUUUACUUGAACUGGAGAGAAUGGACACGUUCAUGGAAGGCGGCGACGUGCGUCCAUGGGUGGGUGGGAAGAGUCGAGGCAGGGAAGCGGGGCGCCGACCUCUGUCCAACUUAUGCAGCAGGCCGGUGAUCCGGUGGGUCUGCGCACGUGUGCUCGCCUGUGUUUCGCCUCCCCUCCUCCCUCCACACACCUCUCUCUCUCACCCUUUUGUGUUUUCUGCGCAGCACGCGCUGGCGUGUACAUGGCGGUGCGUGCGUGCGUGUCCGGCUGCUCGUUCUCUGAACCCCCUCCCCCACUGACAAUGAGGCGGAAGAUUGUAAAGUCAAGUGGAGGCAGAGCUAGAGCUGAGACGCACACGCGAGGCUGUAACACGGCAUGCCCGUGGUCGUCACGCGGCUCUGCGUCUCUCUCUCUCCCUGCCCAGCCUGCCGCUCGUCCAUUGUACCUUUUGCUCGCAUUCUUCUAUAUGCCUCCCUCCCUUCCCUCAACAUCCUCCUCUCGUCUCUCUUUCCAUCGUUGUCUUCAACGUUUUUUUUUUGGGUGUGCGCCUCACACCUCCGCCAUCGCUUCUACGUCUACGAAGCGCGCCAUGGGCCGUGGCGAUGGGCGAUCGCCGAUGACCCCUCGACACCGAUGUCGAUGUGAUGACGCUCAUCGAGUCGCGCGAUGCACCAGUGAGUGGCUGGCGGUGUAGGCGGUGUUGUGUAUCUUGUGCGUUUUUUUUUGGGGGGAGGGAGGGCCCCUCCCUUCCCUUCAUCUUCCUCGCGGCACAGUUUUCGGUGGGCCGACGUUGUUUUCAUGGGCCCUUCUUAUUGGCGGUGAUGGUGUUGGUUAUGGUGCUCCCCGUCUGUCUCCCUGACUGCGUCUUUCCUCUCUGCUUCUCUCCUUCCACGGACUGAAGUGCAUCAUCGUAGAGUAGUAAAACCUCUUGGGAACCAACAACAGCACGCGUUGUUCGGGGGAGGGAGGGGGGUUAUAACGGGAAGGGGCAGCUUCCAGUCGAACUGGUGUCGCGCCUUCCCUUUCCGCCCUCCCCUUCCCCGCCACAGCCCCGUCUUUCUCGGCCUGCCUUUCCUUAUCUCUCCGCAUGGGCACACACGCACACGCCUCCUCCUCUACUUGGAAGUGGGCCUACGAGUGGGCAUGCGAGAGUGCAGGGGAAAGGAUGAGGAGAGACGGGAGAAACGGGGGCAACGGGAGAGGGACAUGGAAGAAGCAGCGCACCACCCCCCCCCUACC